rnacentral:rRNA from 1 species
GAUGAACGCUGGCGGCGUGCCUAAUACAUGCAAGUCGAGCGAACAGAUGAGGAGCUUGCUCCUCUGACGUUAGCGGCGGACGGGUGAGUAACACGUGGAUAACCUACCUAUAAGACUGGGAUAACUUCGGGAAACCGGAGCUAAUACCGGAUAAUAUAUUGAACCGCAUGGUUCAAUAGUGAAAGACGGUUUUGCUGUCACUUAUAGAUGGAUCCGCGCCGCAUUAGCUAGUUGGUAAGGUAACGGCUUACCAAGGCAACGAUGCGUAGCCGACCUGAGAGGGUGAUCGGCCACACUGGAACUGAGACACGGUCCAGACGCCUACGGGAGGCAGCAGUAGGGAAUCUGCCGCAAUGGGCGAAAGCCUGACGGAGCAACGCCGCGUGAGUGAUGAAGGUCUUCGGAGCGUAAAACUCUGUUAUUAGGGAAGAACAAAUGUGUAAGUAACUAUGCACGUCUUGACGGUACCUAAUCAGAAAGCCACGGCUAACUACGUG